AUUGAACGCUGGCGGCAGGCUUAACACAUGCAAGUCGAGUGGGGUGAGGUGCUUCGGUACUGAUCCUAGCGGCGGACGGGUGAGUAAUGCUUAGGAAUCUGCCAUUUAGUGGGGGACAACAUUCCGAAAGGGAUGCUAAUACCGCAUACGUCCUACGGGAGAAAGCAGGGGAUCUUCGGACCUUGCGCUAAAUGAUGAGCCUAAGUCGGAUUAGCUAGUUGGUGGGGUAAAGGCCUACCAAGGCGACGAUCUGUAGCGGGUCUGAGAGGAUGAUCCGCCACACUGGGACUGAGACACGGCCCAGACUCCUACGGGAGGCAGCAGUGGGGAAUAUUGGACAAUGGGCGGAAGCCUGAUCCAGCCAUGCCGGGUGUGUGAAGAAGGCCUUUUGGUUGUAAAGCACUUUAAGCGAGGAGGAGGCUACCUGGAUUAAUACUCUGGGAUAGUGGACGUUACUCGCAGAAUAAGCACCGGCUAACUCUGUGCCAGCCGCCGCGGUAAUAC
rnacentral:rRNA from 1 species